rnacentral:lncRNA from 1 species
GCUCACAACCAUCUGUAAUGACAUCUGACGCCCUCUACUGGUGUGUCUGAAGACAGCUACAAUGUACUUACAUAUAAAUAAUAAAUAAAUAUUUAAAAAAAAGGAGCCGGGCAUGUGGCGUGUGGUGGCGCAUGCCUUUAUAAAAAAAAAAAAAAAAAGAUUUUGUUUAUUUCAUGUCUAUGAGCACACUGUAGCUGUCUUCAGACACACCAGAAAAGCCCAUAGGAUCCCAUCACAGAUGAUCGUGACCCGCCAUGAGGUUGCUGGGGGUUGAGCUCAGGACCUCUGGAAGAGCAGACAAUGCUCUAACCCACUGAGCCUCUUCAGUGCCCCUUUCUUUUUAAAUUCGCCAUUAUUUUCAUUUUAUGAGUAAUUUGCCUUCAUGAAUGUCUGUGUACUGCCUGUGUUCCUGGUGUCCCUGGAGGCUUUGAAGAAGGCGUCAGAUCCCCUGAGACGUGAGUCCAGAUGGUUGUGAGUUGCCCUCUGGAUGCUGGGAAUCAAACUUGGCCCUCUAGAACACCAGUGCUCUUAACCGCUGAGCCGUCUCUCCAGAACCUUCCCUAAUUACGUUUUGUCUGCUUCCAGCUUUCUGCCAUGCCACCACCAGAAUAUAUUUGCUGGUUUAUUUAUUUAUUGCUGAAAGUAUGUCUUAAUGUGUGGCAUUGGAUAGCUGUCUUCAGACACACCAGAAAAGCCCAACUUACUGUGUAAGUAACUUACUGUGUAGAACAGGAUGGCUUGAGACUCACAGAGAGAGCUUUCUGCCUAUGUUUUCUAAGUGCAGGAAUUAAAAAUUUACACCACCACAUCUGGCUUUUUUUUUUUAAGGUCUUUUAAAAAACAGGACAGUGUCUGAAGAGAUGGUUCAGCAGUUAAGAGCACUUGUUCUU